rnacentral:pre_miRNA from 1 species
CAAAUACUCCCUCCGUUCCAAAAUAGAUGACUCAACUUUGUACUAACUUUAGUACAAAGUUAAUACAAAGUUGGGUCAUCUAUUUUGGAACGGAGGGAGUAUAUG